rnacentral:rRNA from 1 species
GGUGAACGCUGGCGGCGUGCCUAACACAUGCAAGUCGAGCGGGUACCCGCAAGGGUACCAGCGGCGCACGGGUGAGUAACACGUGGGUAAUCUACCCCUCGGAGGGGGAUAACUGGGGGAAACCCCGGCUAAUACCCCAUACGAUCCGGCAACGAAGGUUGCUGGAUGAAAGGGGCGUUUGCUCCGCCGAGGGAUGAGCCCGCGGCCCAUCAGGUAGUUGGUGGGGUAAUGGCCCACCAAGCCUACGACGGGUAGCCGGCCUGAGAGGGUGGUCGGCCACAAGGGCACUGAGACACGGGCCCUACUCCUACGGGAGGCAGCAGUGGGGAAUCUUGGACAAUGGGCGAAAGCCUGAUCCAGCGACGCCGCGUGGGGGAUGAAGCCCUUCGGGGUGUAAACCCCUGUUGCGAGGGAGGAAUAAGGCCUGGAGGAAAUGCCAGGCCGAUGACUGUACCUCGCGAGGAAGCCCCGGCUAACUACGUGCCAGCAGCCGCGGUAAUACGUAGGGGGCGAGCGUUACCCGGGUUCACUGGGCGUAAAGCGGGUGUAGGCGGCUCGGUAAGUCGGGUGUGAAAUCCCACAGCUCAACUGUGGAAUUGCGCCCGAAACUGCUGAGCUUGGGGCCGGUAGAGGGAGACGGAACUGCCGGUGUAGGGGUGAAAUCCGUAGAUAUCGGCAGGAACGCCGGUGGGGAAGCCGGUCUCCUGGGCCGCGCCCGACGCUGAGACCCGAAAGCUAGGGGAGCAAACC